AUGGAGGGGAUGGCGGGGAUGCUGGAGAGGAUGCAGUUGUCGGAGGAGGAGAGGAAGGGCGUGAAGAUCCGCUGGAAGUCGAGAGCGAAGGAUUCAGCAGGGGAGAUUCAAGCCGUGGGGAAGGUUCUGUCGAAGAGACCGGCGCACCAGGAUGCGAUCUGCAUGGCGUUAGGUCGGUGUUGGUGUCCUCUGAAGGGCGUUGAUUGCAAGGAACUGGGAGAGAAUGUCUUCCUCUUCACGUUCAAGCAGGAAAGUGGAAAGCGAAAGGUGUUGGAGGAGGGCCCUUGGAUGUUCAACAAUGAUCUGGUGGUGAUGGUGGACUUCGUGCCAAGUAAACGGAUUGAUCAGUAUGUGUUUGAGAACAUUCCCAUCUGGUUUAGGGUCUAUGGAUUGCCAUUGGGGAAGAUGGAG
rnacentral:rRNA from 1 species